rnacentral:lncRNA from 1 species
UUGAGUUGGUUUACAUAGACAUCAUAAAAAUCUCUAAGAUCAUGUAUUAAAAGGGAUAACAACAAUCUAUGGUCAAGCACACCUCUAACAUCCAUAAACAUCAUCUCAUUACAUAUCUAAACUAUACUUUUACAUUACAUCAUAAUCAUUUAUCAUGUCCACACUAACUAUUACAUAAACAAAACUUCGUUACUCUAUCCGGACUCUUGCUCUAUCCUGUACCUGCAAG